rnacentral:lncRNA from 1 species
AGUUUGCACCUUGCUCCACUCACUGGCCUGCGGUCUGUGUUCACUCCUCCUCCUCUCCCACGUCUCAGGAACCUGCAGCUGGCCCCCGAGCCCGCGCCCUCCCGGUUCUAGGAAUUCACCACUUUCUUGCCUUUGUUUGGGUAUCUUUUGUUUGGAGCCAGAGCCGGCUCCAAGGAGGAGCUGCCGGAGGGUGCUAGGCUUUUUGCAGAGGAAGUGAGGAGCAGAGUGAUAGGGCGUGAAGUCAGAGGGAGCAGAGAAGGGGCCGAAUCCAGCGGGGCCCGGAUCAUGCAGGGCCCGGAGCCUGUGGUGAGGACUCCGGGAUUUAUAUUCACCAAUUAUGAGAAAGGACUUCUCGGCCGGGCGCGGUGGCUCACACCUGUAAUCCCAGCACUUUGGGAGGCUGAGGCCGGCGGAUCGCCUAAGGUCAGGAGUUCGGGACCACCCUGGACAACAUGGUGAAACUUUGUCUCUACUAAAAAUACAAAAAUUAGCCAGGCGUGGUGGUACAUGCCUGCAAUCCCAGAUACUUGGGAGGCUGAGGCAGGAGAAUCGCUUGAACCCAGGAGGCGGAGGUUGCCGUGAGCCGAGAUCGUGCCACUGUACUCCAGCCUGGGCAACAAGAGCGAAACUCCGUCAAAAAAAAAAAGAAGAAGAAGAAGAAGAAGAAAAGAAAAAAGCAAAGAAAGAAAAGAAAGAGGACUUAUCAAUGACCACAAAUGACUAAGUCCUCAACCUCUCCAACAGCUCUAGAGCAAAUGACACUUUAGCCUGUGCUGAGCCCCUACAAGGUGCUAGACCAAGUAUUCUUGGGGAUAUAUACAAAUGUGAACAAGCCAGAGACCCUGCCUGGCAGGACUCACUGUCCAGGGGGAAGGCAAAACUGCAAAGAUGAGCUGGGACGCCCCAUGGGAAACGCUGGACAGAGUCAGCCACAAAGCCAUCCCCUUGCAGCCUCCUCCUUGGCAUGGCCUUAUUUUCCUUGUUGGAUCCCUAGUGUCCUACCCCAUGCCAGGUCCCACCCCAGGAGGGUCCAGUUCACACUUCCAGAAAGUUUGGGCUGCACUGUCCCA